rnacentral:rRNA from 1 species
GAUGAACGCUGGCGGCGUGCCUAAUACAUGCAAGUCGAGCGAACAGACGAGGAGCUUGCUCCUCUGACGUUAGCGGCGGACGGGUGAGUAACACGUGGAUAACCUACCUAUAAGACUGGGAUAACUACGGGAAACCGGAGCUAAUACCGGAUAAUAUAUUGAACCGCAUGGUUCAAUAGUGAAGGACGGUUUUGCUGUCACUUAUAGAUGGAUCCGCGCCGCAUUAGCUAGUUGGUAAGGUAACGGCUUACCAAGGCGACGAUGCGUAGCCGACCUGAGAGGGUGAUCGGCCACACUGGAACUGAGACACGGUCCAGACUCCUACGGGAGGCAGCAGUAGGGAAUCUUCCGCAAUGGGCGAAAGCCUGACGGAGCAACGCCGCGUGAGUGAUGAAGGUCUUCGGAUCGUAAAACUCUGUUAUUAGGGAAGAACAAAUGUGUAAGUAACUAUGCACGUCUUGACGGUACCUAAUCAGAAAGCCACGGCUAACUACGUG